AUGAACGCUAGCGGCAGGCUUAAUACAUGCAAGUUGAGGGGCAGCAUGAUAUACGCGAGUAUAUUGAUGGCGACCGGCGGACGGGUGAGUAAUAGGUAGGAGACCUACCUCAUACAGGGGGAUAGCAUAGAGAAAUCUGUGGUAAUACCCCAUGAGGUUAUAUGAAUAGAGGCAUAUAAUCAAAGCAUAAGCGAUUAUGCGGUAUGAGAGGGGCCUACUGACCAUUAGCUAGUUGGUGAGGUAAGGGCUCACCAAGGCGAAGAUGGUUAGGGGUUUUGAGAGAGAGACCCCCCACAUUGGAACUGAGAGACGGUCCAGACUCCUACGGGAGGCAGCAGUAGGGAAUAUUGGGCAAUGGGCGAAAGCCUGACCCAGCCAUGCCGCGCGAAGGAAGACGGCCUUAUGGGUUGUAAACUUCUUUACUACGCGAAUAGAGGUUAGUACGAGAUACUAAUAGGAAGGUAGUGUAGUAAAAAGCACCGGCUAACUCCGUG
rnacentral:rRNA from 1 species